rnacentral:rRNA from 12 species
UUAGUCAGUAAAACUGGAUGGCCACACCAUCCUGUCCAGUUUUGGAAGCAAAGCGAGGCCAGGCCUGGUUAAUACUUGGAUGGGAAACCACCUUGGAGGACCAGGGGCUGUCAGAU